AACGAACGCUGGCGGCAGGCCUAACACAUGCAAGUCGAGCGCCCCGCCAGGGGAGCGGCAGACGGGUGAGUACCGCGUGGGAACGCACCUUUUGGUUCGGAACAACUCCGGGAAACUGGAGCUAAUACCGGAUAAGUACUCACGGGGAAAGAUUUAUCGCCGCGAGAUCGGACCGCGGCUGCUUAGCUAGUUGGUGAAGUAACGGCUCACCAAGGCGACGAUCAGUAGCUGGUCUGCGAGGAUGAUCAGCCACACUGGGACUGAGACACGGCUCAGACACGUACAGGAGGCAGCGGUGGGGAAUAUUGGACAAUGGGCGCAAGCCUGAUCCAGCCAUGCCGCGUGAGUUAUGAAGGCCUUAGAGUUGUAAAACUCUUUUUACCGGGAAGAUAAUGACUGUACCGGAAGAAUAAGCCCCGGCUAACUGCGUG
rnacentral:rRNA from 1 species